AUUGAACGCUGGCGGCAUGCUUUACACAUGCAAGUCGAACGGUAGAGGGGGCAACCCCUUGAGAGUGGCGAACGGGUGAGUAAUGCAUCGGAACGUGCCCAGUCGUGGGGGAUAACGCAGCGAAAGCUGUGCUAAUACCGCAUACGAUCUCUGGAUGAAAGCGGGGGACCGAAAGGCCUCGCGCGACUGGAGCGGCCGAUGUCAGAUUAGGUAGUUGGUGGGGUAAAGGCUCACCAAGCCAACGAUCUGUAGCUGGUCUGAGAGGACGACCAGCCACACUGGGACUGGGACACGGCCCAGACUCCUACGGGAGGCAGCAGUGGGGAAUUUUGGACAAUGGGCGCAGGCCUGAUCCAGCAAUGCCGCGUGCAGGAAGAAGGCCUUCGGGUUGUAAACUGCUUUUGUACGGAACGAAAAGGUCUGGGUUAAUACCCUGGGCACAUGACGGUACCGUAAGAAUAAGCACCGGCUAACUACGUGCCAGCCGCCGCCGUAA
rnacentral:rRNA from 1 species